rnacentral:rRNA from 1 species
CAGCAGCCGCGGUAAUACGGAGGGGGUUAGCGUUGUUCGGAAUUACUGGGCGUAAAGCGCUCGUAGGCGGAUUAGAAAGUUGGGGGUGAAAUCCCGGGGCUCAACCCCGGAACUGCCUCCAAAACUGCUAGUCUAGAGUUCGAGAGAGGUGAGUGGAAUUCCGAGUGUAGAGGUGAAAUUCGUAGAUAUUCGGAGGAACACCAGUGGCGAAGGCGGCUCACUGGCUCGAUACUGACGCUGAGGUGCGAAAGUGUGGGGAGCAAACAGGAUUAGAUACCCUGGUAGUCCACACCGUAAACGAUGAAUGCCAGUCGUCGGGUAGUAUACUAUUCGGUGACACACCUAACGGAUUAAGCAUUCCGCCUGGGGAGUACGGUCGCAAGAUUAAAACUCAAAG